rnacentral:rRNA from 1 species
AUACGUAGGUGACAAGCGUUAUCCGGAUUUACUGGGUGUAAAGGGCGUGUAGGCGGUUUAGCAAGUCAGAAGUGAAAUUCCCGGGCUUAACUUGGGCGCUGCUUCUGAAACUGCUUUACUUGAGUGCUGGAGAGGAUAGUGGAAUUCCUAGUGUAGCGGUAAAAUGCGCAGAUAUUAGGAGGAACACCGGUGGCGAAGGCGGCUAUCUGGACAGGAACUGACGCUGAGGCGCGAAAGCACGGGGAGCAAACAGGAUUAGAUACCCUGGUAGUCCACGCGGUAAACGAUGAAUGCUAGGUGUUGCGGGUAUCGACCCCUGCAGUGCCGGAGUAAACACAAUAAGCAUUCCGCCUGGGGAGUACGGCCGCAAGGUUGAAACUCAAAGGAAUUGACGGGG